UACGUAGGCAGCGAGCGUUUGUUCGGAGUUACUGGGCGUAAAGGGUGUGUAGGCGGUUUUCUAAGUUUGGUGUGAAAUCUCCCGGCUUAACCGGGAGGGUGCGCCGAAAACUGGGAGACUAGAGUGCGGGAUGGGAGAGUAGAAUUCCUGGUGUAGCGGUGAAAUGCGUAGAUAUCAGGAGGAAUACCGGUGGUGCAGACGGCUCUCUGGACCGCAACUGACGCUGAGACACGAAAAGCGUGGGUAGCAAACAGG
rnacentral:rRNA from 1 species